UAAUUUCUGAGCCUUCUUCCCAAUUUCAGGGUGGUCUCAAGCCCCCAAAGCCACCUCAGAUCCCUCAAGGUGGUCCCAGAUCCACCUCAGGCUGAUCCCAACCCCUUGGUGCCACCUCAGGGUGGUCCCAAACCCAUCUUAGGUCCCUCAGGGUGAUCCCAAAUCCACCUCAGGAUGAUCCCAAACCUCCUUGGUGCCACCUCAGGGUGGUCCUAAACCUUCUUGGUGCCACCUCAGGUCCCUCAGGGUGAUCCCAAAUCCAUCUCAGGGUUGUCCCAAAGCACUCCGGUGCUGCCGGACGCGCUCAGACCCCUCAGGGUGGUCCUGAAUCCAAACCCCCCCAGAUCCACCUCGGGUCCCUCAGCGUGAUCCCAACCCCCAAAUCCACCUCAGGGUGGUCCCAACCCCGUCAGAUCCACUUCAGGCUGGUCCCAAAUCCUCUUGGUGCCACCUCAGGUCCCUCAGGCUGGUCCAGAUCUCCUUGGUGCCACCUCAAGGUGAUCCCAAACCCAUCUUGGGUCCCUCAGGGUGANCCUCUUGGUGCCACCUCAGGUCCCUCAGGCUGGUCCAGAUCUCCUUGGUGCCACCUCAAGGUGAUCCCAAACCCAUCUUGGGUCCCUCAGGGUGAUCCCAAAUCCAUCUCAGGAUGGUCUCACUCUCUUGGUGCCACCUCAGGGUGGUCCCAAAUCCACCUCAGGUCCCUCAGGAUGGUCUCAACCCCCUCAGAUCCACCUCAGGCUGGUCCCAAACCCUCUUGAUGCCACCUCAAGGUGAUGCCAAACCCAUCUUAGGUCCCUCAGGCUGGUCCCAAAUCCUCUUGAUGCCACCUCAAAUCCCUCAGGCUGGUCCAGAUCCCCUUGGUGCCACCUCAAGGUGAUCCCAAACCCAUUUUGGGUCCCUCAGGGUGAUCCCAAAUCCACCUCAGGAUGGUCCCACCCUCCUUGGUGCCACCUCAGGCUGGUCCCAACCCCCUCAGAUCCACCUCAGGGUUGUCCGAACCCUCUUGGUGCCACCUCAAAUCCCUCAGGCUGGUCCAGAUCCCCUUGGUGCCACCUCAAGGUGAUCCCAAACCCAUCUUGGGUCCCUCACGGU
rnacentral:lncRNA from 1 species